rnacentral:misc_RNA from 1 species
GAAAUGCGAUAAGUAGUGUGAAUUGCAGAAUUCAGUGAAUCAUCGAAUCUUUGAACGCACAUUGCGCCCUAUGGUAUUCCGUAGGGCAUGCCUGUUCGAGCGUCAUUUACACCUUCAAGCCUUGCUUGGUGUUGGGUGACUGUGGCCCCUUUGGGGCCACUCGCCUUAAAGUCAUUGGCGGCCGGUUCGUUGGCUUUGUAGCGCAGCACAAUUGCGUCCUCGAAGCCGCUGGACCAGCUCACAGAAGCUAAUUUUAAAUGUUUGACCUCGAAUCAGGUAGGGAUACCCGCUGAACUUAAGC